AAAAAUUUCGGACCCCCGCCCCACCCUUCCCCCACAUGUAUUUCAUCUUCCUCACGCUCUACCCUCUCACUAGAACGUUGUAACACAAACGACGAGCCCCCUGUACAGGAAGGCCUCUUCUUGAACAAAAAAAUCUAAAGACCGUAGAGACUUCAACUAAAAACGGGUAGACCCAAGAACAAAAGGAGAUUAGCACCAUUUCUUUCUUUUGAUUCUCUUCAAUGGAGGAAGGCCAGCCAUGGCUAACACAUCAACAGGGUCUCGAUUCUUCUUCUCAUUUCUCUCAUUGACACAUAUAGGAAGAUUGGCUCCCUUUCACCAUCAUCUCUCUUAAACACACACAUACACACUCAGGCAUAGAGGAAAUAGAGACAGACAUAAGGAAAAGAGCUAGCCUAAUACAGGCGUGAACGGGCAGAAACAGAGUGAGAACGGCAGAAUUUCAAAAUCUAUUUAGUAUGGAGAUGUUGGCACAAGAAGGUGAACUGUCAUUAUAUAUCAAUCUUUUGCUCUGGCUGCUAUUGACUUGACUACAUUGUCUCACUGAGCAGUGUUUUCUCAUGGAGGAAAGAAAGAUGGGCCAAAUCAUGCGGGUAAGUGCCCAAGAAAUUUCAUACUAGCUACUUCCACUACUGUCACCCCUAAGUAUUGCAUUAUUUGUGAGAGUUCGGCCAUUUGAAGAAAAGACAUCGGAUUAUACAAAGUGUCCCUAAUGCUUUCCGAUGACAACAAUCAUCCGUUUCAGUUAUCGCUGAGAGUCCGGGUCCAUCCGAGGUUCAUCAAUUUCCGGCGAGCUUCGAGGUCGUCAAAGGUCGUGGUCUGAGGUCUCUGUUCAACGCCAUUUUCUGUCGAGUGAAGCCCAUUAUGGUUCACGUCCGACCUUUAUUCGUCAUUUUUGAACUAUUUCUUUGCUUUCAAUAAGUAAACCUCGUCAUCUUUGCCUUAUUUAUUUUCCGUCUUGCCUAUGCCUUCUUUUGUUGAAUGGUAUUUGACAUGAAUAUAUUUCAACAAUGUAUUUUCUUUGUUGAAAAGUUUAUUUUAUGGUUAGUUUUGUUUGUUCAUCUUGCACUUGAUAUAAAUCUGUCAAAGAUAUGUUGUUGUUGUGAUAUUUCACUUCUUAUAAUAUUAGGAAGUUAUUCUCUGUUGCAUUUACUAAUUUUCAAGUUUUAAUUUCCAAUCUUUG
rnacentral:lncRNA from 1 species